AUACUUUGUUAAUUAAGAACAGAUUAUAUUUUUUUUUUAUCAGCGAUUUAACUGAUAUGUCCUUGAUGUGAGGACUGACACAUUAAAUACAUUUUUGGUGCCUGGAAUGGGCCUCGGAGCUUGCUCCAGCCCCUCCACGCAUUGGCCUGGUAUUGCAGUGCCUCCGGGCCCGGGGCCUGCUCC